rnacentral:rRNA from 1 species
UACAGAGGUCUCAAGCGUUGUUCGGAUUCAUUGGGCGUAAAGGGUGCGUAGGCGGCGCGGUAAGUCGGGUGUGAAAUCUCGGGGCUUAACUCCGAAACUGCAUUCGAUACUGCCGUGCUUGAGGACUGGAGAGGAGACUGGGAUUUACGGUGUAGCGGUGAAAUGCGUAGAUAUCGUAAGGAAGACCAGUGGCGAAGGCGGGUCUCUGGACAGUUCCUGACGCUGAGGCACGAAGGUCAGGGGAGCAAACGGG